GAGGCAAUGAUUCCAUGCAAUGGCUUGGGCUUCAGGGCCCCCUGACCCCUUGGGCCCCUGGGCCUGGGCCCGGUAAGCCCGUGCAGUAAUCCAUCCCUGGUAGCAUGGGCCCCGGAGAUGUGAGUUCAGUUUACUGUGUCAGCCCGCCAUUCUCCUUGAGAUCAGACCAUCUCGGUUGGUUUAAUUGAUAUUAAUUAAUUUGCUAUUAAUUUAGCUGUAAAUGUCAGAUAACUGUAACAGCAAAUGAAAGACCUUGGUCUUGUAAUUUGUUUUCUUUCUUUCACAUCACAUUCAAAGGAUCAUAAAGCAUUACAGAUGAAGGGUAUCAUUAGACAUUUCACAGGACCAUUUCAGUCCUUCUCAUUCAACUCAGUUCUUUGUUUUGUAUCUGCAACUUAACAAUUCUUGUUUGCUGGACAGCAUAGUGUCUGUUAGCUGCACAUCUCAAAACUGGCAAGUAAAAAAGCAUUACAAAAUCCAAUCAAAUCAUACCCCAAUGCCAAUUGUCUUUUAUUUUAUGGUACAGUUACAUGUAAAGGGUGAAAAAGUAACUUAUUCUUCAUACCGUAACUUUGACUUUGUUCUCUCUCCUUUCGUUCCUGGUUCCUGGCGUUGAGAAUGCUGUACCUACUAUAAGUGUCGACAGCCUACCUGUUCUAGAUCAUUUGGAUGCACAAAGCAUUACGACCCUUUGUGGAGAUGAUGGAUACACAUAUGUCAAGUGUGUGCUUUGCAGGCAUAACAAGCUGACGAGGAAAGGAGUGUGUGUUAAGCACAGCGGGUCUUGCCAGGCUGCCUCGCCAUCUGUCUUCUGGUUGGACAACAAUGACAAAGGCCUACAGUACUACAGACCUUUACCAGCAAAUGACCCAGUAUUCCUCAUGGGGCUCAAGUCCUCUCAUGUCUUCUAAAGUACUCUGCUUUUUGAUAGAUCUCUAUAACUUCAUUGUGCAAGUCUAGAGACAUGCAUGGUAAAGUGAAAUAAAGUUAUGCAGCAUUCAUAUGUUUCCACUAAUUAAUGUCUGAAAAAUAAGAUCUGACACAAUAUUAAAGAUGUAGCAUUUAAAAUGUCUACAUUACACUCAAUAAUACUCUCUGACACUUAAACACAACUCAUGGUUGUCCUCGUCAAUGUUCUCUGAACAGACUUUAUUGGCAGUGAGUGCAUACAAAUAUGUUGCAAACACUGAUGAAACAACAUAACAAGUUGUAAAACAUUCUAUGAAGUUCAUGAAAGGUGCGUUGACAGUUUGACCUCUGGCAACAAACAUUGGAGAACCUAUUCACAGCCAUUGUAGUGUAAGAAACUAUACUAUUACUGUAGAUAUGGGCAGCAAUAAAAAUGUCACUAUAAGAAACUACCAUCAUUUAACUUAACAGUGAUACCAAGCUCAUCCAGAUGUGGCUUCAUGAGAGAUUCAUAAUGAGUUCAGAGAUAGGACAGACUGGGUCAGCCCCUACAGUAGGUUGCUGAAGUUGUUUAGUGUAACAUUGCCAUGUAUUGUUGGAUUUGAAUCAGUGUGCAUUCCGGCCUGUUGUUAAUUUUUAGUGUGUACCAAUGUUCAUUGCUGCCCUUACAGUACAUGCAGCAGGCUGUGUGGCAUGUUAUUCCAUAACUGUUAAGGGCUCUCUGGACUGCAGCCAAACACACACCCUACAGUUUUAGAGUCUGACACUUUUCUCUCCUCAUAGGUUUAGACAGUAUGUCACUCAUGUGUUUAAUGGGAUAAAGCAUAUCAAGUUUAUUAAAGCAACAUGAUGUAAGAAUUGGAAGAAUUUAUCCCUUUUCAUCAACUUCUAUCAAUCAUCAUCAUCAUCAAAAUGUGUUUGAAGCUGUCAUAAGGUAAAAUCAUUAUGUAUGGCUUAUGUGUGACAUUCUUAUUGAUAUUCAGUACUGUACACUCUUAAGUGCCUUCUCUCAAUGGAGCAGAUCAUCUCGGUGCACAUCCUGUCACUGUCCUCCACUGCUGUCUGUGCAGUGCUCUGAUUGGAGACACAAAGAUAGCUCAUUCAUGAUGUGACUAUAGCCUUUGGUCUGAUUUUUACAAAGUCCCAAUCCUGCCUCUCUGUGAUGGUCUGCAGCAUGUGUAGAGAUGGCAGCAUAAUGGUAAUAAUAUGUGCAGAUAUCACACUCCACAUCUCCAGGUUCAGCAAAACAGUGAGCAGGAGUAGCAGCUUGGAUUCUGGUCUUCCUAAAUUCUUCCACUAUUUCAGCAAUCAGAGUGUUUUUACUAAGAACAGGUCUUGCCCUACAGUAAAAUUCAGUCUGCACUGGGGGCAGCUGUAGAUGCCUUUACCAUCCUCCUGAUCCCAGGAACCCUUAUUACAUGCAAAACAAUAGUUGUGUCCACACAGAGAACAUCAUUCAGUAGUGAAAGACUCCUGUCUUGGCUGAGAAAUCCACCAUGUCUUUUUCUGAUCACACACAGGGAAAGAUUAGACAGCAGUGUGAAAUGUCACUUUUGCUUUCCUGUAUUUUAUCACAAUAAUGUAUUUCUCUCUUGUCCCCUGCCCCUUUUCCACAGCCCUGUGUCUCUUGCUCUUGGAUCUGGAAACAUUUUGUGUUGACUGUGGACACUUACUUUUUCAAUAUUUGGACUUUUAUCCUUUUAUCAACCUUACUCCGAGUUUGGGAUCUUUGCUUUGAGGGCAGUUAGGAUAUAUACAGUAUCUCAGUUGAUAUGCAGUGACUUUUGACACACUGAUACGUUUUGCCUUUUCCCAUAUUGCAGAUGAUCCACAGUUUGACAACUCUGCAUGAAUGAGGAUACUCUGAAAUCUACUGCAGGAGUUUCCUACUGAUUUGAAAGGACCCAAGCCUCUUCAGGAAAUAGAGACAGAAUCAACACAGUAUUUGGCAUGUCAUGCCAAAUAUCUUGCAAAAGCAAAGACUUCAUUCAAAACAAUAAACUUUUCUAAAAACUG